CCAGACAGCCAGGAUGUUGGCUUAGAAGCAGCCAUCAUUUAAAGAAAGCGUAAUAGCUCACUGGUCGAGUCGGCCUGCGCGGAAGAUGUAACGGGGCUAAACCAUGCACCGAAGCUGCGGCAGCGACACUGUGUGUUGUUGGGUAGGGGAGCGUUCUGUAAGCCUGCGAAGGUGGCCUGUGAGGGUUGCUGGAGGUAUCAGAAGUGCGAAUGCUGACAUAAGUAACGAUAAAGCGGGUGAAAAGCCCGCUCGCCGGAAGACCAAGGGUUCCUGUCCAACGUUAAUCGGGGCAGG
rnacentral:rRNA from 2 species